CCUACGGGAGGCAGCAGUGAGGAAUAUUGGUCAAUGGCCGUAAGGCUGAACCAGCCAAGUAGCGUGAGGGAAGACUGCCCUAUGGUUUGUAAACCUCUUUUAUGCGGGGAUAAAUGUGUCCACGUGUGGAUGUUUGCAGGUACCGCAUCAAUCAGGACCGGCUAAUUCCGUGCCAGCAGCCGCGGUAAUACGGAAGGUCCGGGCGUUAUCCGGAUUUAUUGGGUGUAAAGGGAGCGUAGGCCGGUCUUUAAGCGUGCCGUGAAAUUUUGUGGCUCAACUAUGAGAGUGCGGGGGGAACUGUAGACGUUGAGUGCGGGGAAGGCAGGCGGAAUUCGUGGUGUAGGGGUGAAAUGCUUAGAGAUCAAGAGGAACACCGAUUGCGAAGGCAGCCUGCCGCAGCGUUACUGACGCUGAAGCUCGAAAGCGCGGGUAUCGAACAGGAUUAGAUAACCGAGUAGUC
rnacentral:rRNA from 1 species